rnacentral:rRNA from 1 species
GACGAACGCUGGCGGCGUGCUUAACACAUGCAAGUCGAACGGAAAGGCCCUGCUUUUGUGGGGUGCUCGAGUGGCGAACGGGUGAGUAACACGUGAGUAACCUGCCCUUGACUUUGGGAUAACUUCAGGAAACUGGGGCUAAUACCGGAUAGGAGCUCCUGCUGCAUGGUGGGGGUUGGAAAGUUUCGGCUGGUGGGGAUGGACUCGCGGCUUAUCAGCUUGUUGGUGGGGUAGUGGCUUACCAAGGCUUUGACGGGUAGCCGGCCUGAGAGGGUGACCGGCCACAUUGCGACUGAGAUACGGACCAGACUCGUACGGGAGGCAGCAGUGGGAAAUAUUGUACAAUGGGCGGAAGCCUGAUGAAGCAACGCCGCGUGCGGGAUGACGGCUUUCGGGUUGUGAACAGCUUUCGCCUGUGACGAAGCGUGAGUGACGGUAAUGGGUAAAGAAGCACCGGCUAACUACGUG